GAGGAAUAUUGGUCAAUGGACGCAAGUCUGAACCAGCCAUCCCGCGUGCAGGAAGAAGGCCCUAUGGGUUGUAAACUGCUUUUAUACACCAAGAAACCCCUUCUCGUGAGGAGGGCUGACGGUAGUGUGUGAAUAAGCACCGGCUAACUCCGUGCCAGCAGCCGCGGUAAUACGGAGGGUGCAAGCGUUAUCCGGAUUUAUUGGGUUUAAAGGGUGCGUAGGCGGGUCUGUAAGUCAGUGGUGAAAGCCUUCAGCUUAACUGGAGAAUUGCCAUUGAUACUGCUGACCUUGAAUUCGGUUGAAGUGGGCGGAAUGUGUGGUGUAGCGGUGAAAUGCAUAGAUAUCACACAGAACACCGAUUGCGAAGGCAGCUCACUAAGCCGACAUUGACGCUGAGGCACGAAAGCGUGGGGAGCGAAC
rnacentral:rRNA from 1 species